rfam:Asian citrus Psyllid, Diaphorina citri - Florida Strain, whole genome shotgun sequence.
GCCUAGGUAACUUGGUUGGUAGAGCGUCUGCCUUGUAAGCGUUAGGCCGCGGGUUCGAUUCCCACCCGGGGCG